CCGCCCUCCGAGGCUGCGUCCCCGGAAGCCCGGCUCCCCGAGCACUCCGGCCCGGCCCGGCGCCUCGGACCUGAGUGCGUCCCCAUGGAGGCGCCCGGGCUGGCCCAGGCGGCCGUGGCAGAGGAGACCCCGGACUGGGCGCCCGAGCUCUGCCCCAGCUCCGAGGCGCGGUCGUCGGAGCUGCCUGCCAACCGCCUUCAGGACUUCGACACGCUGGUCACCGUGGGAAAGCAACUAGAAGCCAUUUGUGUCAAGGUAACGUCUGGAGAAACAAAAGGUCAGGAACGGCCAACGUCCCUACUGGCCACAGUCCAGCCCCAAUCUGCAAGACAGAGCCAGCCGCCCCGGGGGAAUUCCCGCCUGGUGGGACUCCACGUCACCAGCCCCCAGCUGCUCAGGGUACAGCCCCUCGUGAGAACCGAGCCACGGUCAUGUUUCCUACAUCAACCUCCUGCUCAGGGGUUUGUACAGAGACCACUGCCAGCCCUCUAGGUGGUCCCUGCAAAGAGAGUCCCAGCCCCUAAGGCUCCAAAUGGACAGGGCACCACGUUGACCCCUUUGUCGGCCUCCAGUUCGCCGACUGUAACAUGUUUCAUCCAGUUCAGGACGUUUAUUUAUUUCCAGCUUGCAUACAAAACAUACUGAGAAACUAAAACCAUCGUUAAAAGUGAAGACAUGUUGAGACAGGUAUCUCGACCUGCCAAGUAUAAAGCUAAAGCUGAGUUC
rnacentral:lncRNA from 1 species